rnacentral:rRNA from 1 species
GAUGAACGCUGGCGGCGUGCCUAAUACAUGCAAGUCGAGCGAAUGGAUUGAGAGCUUGCUCUUAUGAAGUUAGCGGCGGACGGGUGAGUAACACGUGGGUAACCUGCCCAUAAGACUGGGAUAACUCCGGGAAACCGGGGCUAAUACCGGAUAACAUUUUGAACCGCAUGGUUCGAAAUUGAAAGGCGGCUUCGGCUGUCACUUAUGAUGGACCCGCGUCGCAUAGCUAGUUGGUGAGGUAACGGCUCACCAAGGCAACGAUGCGUAGCCGACCUGAGAGGGUGAUCGGCCACACUGGGACUGGGACACUGCCCAGACUCCUACGGGAGGCAGCAGUAGGGAAUCUUCCGCAAUGGACGAAAGUCUGACGGAGCAACGCCGCGUGAGUGAUGAAGGCUUUCGGGUCGUAAAACUCUGUUGUUAGGGAAGAACAAGUGCUAGUUGAAUAAGCUGGCACCUUGACGGUACCUAACCAGAAAGCCACGGCUAACUACGUGCCAGCCGCCGCCGUAA